rnacentral:rRNA from 1 species
AACGAACGCUGGCGGCGCGCCUAAUACAUGCAAGUCGAGCGAGAAGACGUAGCAAUACGUUUGUAAAGCGGCGAACGGGUGAGGAAUACGAUGGGUAACCUACCCUCGAGUGGGAAUAACCUAGCCGAAAGUUAGCUAAUACCGCGUACGCUCCUUGGACUUCCGGUUCAGGGAGGAAAGCGAUACCGUGGGUAUCGCGCUCUUGGAUGGGGCUCAUGUCCUAUCAGCUUGUUGGUGAGGAACGGCUCACCAAGGCUUCGACGGGUAGCUGGUCUGAGAGGACGAUCAGCCACACUGGCACUGCGACACGGGCCAGACUCCUACGGGAGGCAGCAGUAAGGAAUAUUGCGCAAUGGGCGAAAGCCUGACGCAGCGACGCCGCGUGGGGGAUGAAGGUCUUC